rnacentral:rRNA from 1 species
UCGAGAAUCUUUCGCAAUGGGCGCAAGCCUGACGAAGCGACGCCGUGUGAGCGAAGAAGGCCUUCGGGUUGUAAAGCUCUUUCGCUAGGGAACAAGAAAGAUAGAUAAACAAUCUAUCAAUUUGAUGGUACUUGGUAAAGAAGCACCGGCUAACUCCGUGCCAGCAGCUGCGGUAAUACGGAGGGUGCAAGCAUUGAUCGGAAUUACUGGGCGUAAAGGGCGCGUAGGCGGCGAGAAAAGUCAGGUGUGAAAUUCCGAGGCUCAACUUCGGAGCUGCACUUGAAACUUUCUUGCUAGAGUACAGUUAGGGAAAACGGAAUUCCACGUGUAGCGGUGAAAUGCGUAGAUAUGUGGAAGAACACCGGUGGUGAAGACGGUUUUCUGGGCUGUUACUGACGCUGAGGCGCGAGAGCUAGGGGAGCAAACAGGAUUAGAUACCCUGGUAGUCCUAGCCUUAAACGAUGCAUACUAGAUGUA